rnacentral:rRNA from 1 species
UACGUAGGGUGCGAGCGUUGUCCGGAAUUAUUGGGCGUAAAGGGCUCGUAGGCGGUCUGUUGCGUCGGGAGUGAAAACUCAGGGCUUAACCCUGAGCCUGCUUCCGAUACGGGCAGACUAGAGGUAUGCAGGGGAGAACGGAAUUCCUGGUGUAGCGGUGAAAUGCGCAGAUAUCAGGAGGAACACCGGUGGCGAAGGCAGCUCGCUGGGACGGUACUGACGCUGAGGCGCGAAAGCGUGGGGAGCAAACAGG